GAAAUGCGAUAAGUAAUGUGAAUUGCAGAAUUCAGUGAAUCAUCGAAUCUUUGAACGCACCUUGCGCUCCUUGGUAUUCCUUGGAGCAUGCCUGUUUGAGUAUCAUGAAAUCUUCAAAGUAAAUCUUUUGUUAACUCAAUUGGUUUCUACUUUGGUAUUGGAGGUCUUUGCAGCUUCACACCUGAUCCUCUUUGUUCAUUAGCUGGAUCUCAGUGUUAUGCUUGGUUCCACUCGGCGUGAUAAGUUAUCUAUCGCUGAGGACACUGUAAAAGGUGGCCAAGGUAAAUGCAGAUGAACCGCUUCUAAUAGUCCAUUGACUUGGACAAUACUUUUAUGAUCUGAUCUCAAAUCAGGUAGGACUACCCGCUGAACUUAAGC
rnacentral:misc_RNA from 1 species